CCGGUGGCCCCCGCUCGCCCACCUGCUGGAGAGAUGGGGAGCUCCUAGGACAGGGGCUGGGUCCUCAAGAUGUGGCACGAGGAAGGGGGUCUCACUGAGCCCCCAGCGGCUCCCGCACUGCGCACCCCUGGCUGCGUCCCUCUGCCAGCCUCAACUCAGCCCUCUCCUAGCCGGCGAGGGGUGACGGUCUCUGUGAUAUCUUUCCGUCCCGCCGGCAGGCGGCGCCCUCCGGCCCUUGUUUCGUUGGGCCCGGACGGGACGUGCGUGCUCAAAGGUUGCCCGGCUCUGACGCCCGCAUUUCCUGGUCUGGAGCCGGCUGAGCCACAGCAGGGUCGCCGCGGGGUCCCGGGGCCGUGCUCCCCUGCCCCUCCCGGGAGCGCGCGGGGCGGGGCGGGACCAGGCGGGCGAGCUGGGCCCUCGCCCCUCCCUCGGGCGGUCACCUGGGCACGGGCGCUGCAGGUGUCGGGGCCUCAACCUUGCGGAGCCGACAGCCAUCGAUCCUCGGGUGGCCUCGAGGUGGUGGCAGGGCCGCCCCCUGCAGUCCGGAGGCGAACGCACGGACCGGGCCUCCGGAGGCAGGUUCGGCUGGAAGGAACCGCUCUCGCUUCGUCCUACACUUGCGCAAAUGUCUCCGGCUUGCUCCACUUAUCGGGCUCACCAAAUACAGCUGCAGUAUGAAUUCCAUCUUCUACACAACAGUAAACCAGAAUGUUCAUGUUCACAGUGUUCAUCUCCCAUCCUGUUGUCUAACGCACAUGGUUUUUUUAAACUUUUCUAAGAUUGCAUGAGAUUCUGCAAUACAACUGAUUAUAAAAACACUUGAAGUUUUUACCUUUUUUUUUACUUUCCAACUCUCGUGAAUGUACAGAGGACUUUCCAGAAGCUACAUGAUGUGUGAUAUUUCAGCUGAUGAAAUGUAGAUGUGUAGGUAAUCGGUCAGAGUGGUGGGAGAAACUGUUGGGAAAGGAGCAGGCCUUCUGAAAGGUCGGAAGGCUUCAGGGGAGAAUAAGCUGAACGCAGCUGUUCUCUGACCUUGAGGCAGAGGGCAAGGAGUAGGUACAAGGACGUGUAGGAGAAUUUAUCUUAAAUAGGCUUGUUCACUUGUGUUGUCCAGAAACCGACUUUUGAUCAUCAGCGCGCAUGACUGCUCCCUGAAAGGAAGAACAAUAAUGUUAAUUACCCGCAGACUGUGUUUGCUCCAGGCUUUCGGCAUUAUGUCUGUACUGAAUAAAAGCAAGCAGCUCCAGCUGUUCGAGGCUGCUCUCUUCUUCAGCCAUUAGUGCCGGGCAGCCCACUAGCUGCUGUUACACUGCAUAUCUGUGUCUGAGUACUCCUUUCUUCAGUUGCUUGGCCAGGGUCUGUGGGACAGACCCAGCAGCUGGUGCCCUGUGUGAGGAACACUGCAAUGGAUCGCGACGGAACCCUCGAAAACAAAGAGCUUACUCACAUAGCAUAUUGGUAUAUCAAAAUGAAAUGCAAGGAACCAAAAAUAACAUAAUUGAAGGCAGUAAAAGUGAAAUUAAAUAGGAAGAUCAUCAGUCAAGGAAGACCCACUGGAGAGGACAGAAAAUAAAGGAAGCAGUGUUUUAUCAUGUGUAUUUCAGCAGGUCUUCUUGAAAUUUAACUAAAAAUAUGACUGCUCUCUCUUCAGAGAACUGCUCUUUUCAGUACCAGUUACGUCAAACAAACCAGCCCCUAGAUGUUAACUGUCUGCUAUUCUUGAUCAUACUUGGGAAAAUAUUAUUAAAUAUCCUUACACUAGGAAUGAGAAGAAAAAACACCUGUCAAAAUUUUAUGGAAUAUUUUUGCAUUUCACUAGCAUUCGUUGAUCUUUUACUUUUGGUAAACAUUUCCAUCAUAUUGUAUUUCAGGGAUUUUGUACUUUUAAGCAUUAGGUUCACUAAAUACCACAUCUGCCUAUUUACUCAAAUUAUUUCCUUUACUUAUGGCUUUUUGCAUUAUCCAGUUUUCCUGACAGCUUGUAUAGAUUAUUGCCUGAAUUUCUCUAAAACAACAAAGCUUUCAUUUAAGUGUCAAAAAUUAUUUUAUUUCUUUACAGUAAUUUUAAUUUGGAUUUCAGUCCUUGCUUAUGUUUUGGGAGACCCAGCCAUCUACCAAAGCCUGAAGGCACAGAAUGCUUAUUCUCGUCACUGUCCUUUCUAUGUCAGCAUUCAGAGUUACUGGCUGUCAUUUUUCAUGGUGAUGAUUUUAUUUGUAGCUUUCAUAACCUGUUGGGAAGAAGUUACUACUUUGGUACAGGCUAUCAGGAUAACUUCCUAUAUGAAUGAAACUAUCUUAUAUUUUCCUUUUUCAUCCCACUCCAGUUAUACUGUGAGAUCUAAAAAAAUAUUCUUAUCCAAGCUCAUUGUCUGUUUUCUCAGUACCUGGUUACCAUUUGUACUACUUCAGGUAAUCAUUGUUUUACUUAAAGUUCAGAUUCCAGCAUAUAUUGAGAUGAAUAUUCCCUGGUUAUACUUUGUCAAUAGUUUUCUCAUUGCUACAGUGUAUUGGUUUAAUUGUCACAAGCUUAAUUUAAAAGACAUUGGAUUACCUUUAGAUCCAUUUGUCAACUGGAAGUGCUGCUUCAUUCCACUUACAAUUCCUAAUCUUGAGCAAAUUGAAAAGCCUAUAUCAAUAAUGAUUUAAUAUUAUUAAUUAAAAGUUACAGCUGUCAUAAGAUCAUAAUUUUAUGAACAGAAAGAACUCAGGACAUAUUGAAAAAUAAACUGAACUAAAACUUUUGCCCCCUGACUGAUAGCAUUUCAGAAUGUGUCUUUUGAAGGGCUAUGAUACCAUUUAUUAAAUAGUGUUUUAUUUUAAAAACAAAAUAAUUCCAAGAAGUUUUUAUAGUUAUUCAGGGACACUAUAUUACAAAUAUUACUUUGUUAUUAACACAAAAAGUGAUAUGAGUUAACAUUUGGCUAUACUGAUGUUUGUGUUACUCAAAAAAACUACUGGAUGCAAACUGUUAUGUAAAUCUGAGAUUUCACUGACAACUUUAAGAUAUCAACCUAAACAUUUUUAUUAAAUGUUCAAAUGAAAGCAAGAAAGUAAAAA